GACGAACCGUGCGAACGUUGUUCGGAAUCACUGGGCUUAAAGGGCGCGUAGGCGGGUCGGCAAGUCCGGGGUGAAAGCCCCCAGCUUAACUGGGGAAGUGCCUUGGAUACUGCCGGUCUAGAGCGAGGUAGGGGCAUGUGGAACUUCGGGUGGAGCGGUGAAAUGCGUUGAUAUCCGAAGGAACGCCGGUGGCGAAAGCGACGUGCUGGACCUUUUCUGACGCUGAGGCGCGAAAGCCAGGGGAGCAAACGGG
rnacentral:rRNA from 1 species